GCACCCUCUGUUAGCAAAACCACCAACCCCAAACAAGAGUCUAGUUUGCAAUGAUGCACUACCUCAUGAAGAACAUCUACCUGAUUCUCCCUUGUCCUGAUCUGACAAUAGGAAUGAUUGAAAUUUUAAUUUGGGAAUUUAAUUUUCCUUAGACAUCAAUAGAGUGAUCCAAGACUCAGUUCUAUCUUGCCUUUGCAGAGGAAGAGCCUAUAAAACAAGGGUUACUAUAAAAGAGAGACCUGGAAUCAAAUUCCACAUUGGUCUCACUAGAAAACUGAAUUUAUGUCUUUCUUAGACAGAUAAGAUGGGAGACAAUCUAGCUGUUAAAAAAUAAGGACCUGAGUUAAAGAAAAUGGAGGGGGAGAGAAUCUACCGUGGAAAGAAUGCUGUUUAAAGAAAGGGUGAAAACUGAAAGAUUAGCUUACUGUUACUCUAGUUUUAUCUCUUAAUGUUUUCUAUAAAACUGAAGAUGAACAGUCACUGGGAAUGCAUUCUGAAGAGAAGCAAUGGAUUCACUAGCUCUGGAUGUUCUCAGAAAUAUUUUUUCUAGAGAGCUUGAUUUUGAUAUAAUUUACUGAGGUGGCACAAAGAUCACUUCUCUAAUGACAGGAGCGCUAGCUCUGCGACCAGACAAGCAUGCUAUACCUACUGCUGUGGCUCCACCUGCUGAAAGGUAU